CUUAGCAGGGGAUAACAUUUGGAAAACAAAUGCUAAUACGUAUAAUAAUUAAAACCGCAUGGUUUUAAGUUUAAAAGAUGGUCUUGCUAUCACUAAGAGAUGGUCCCGCGGUGUAUUAGUUAGUUGGUGAGGUAAUGGCUCACCAAGCAAUGAUACAUAGCCGAGUUGAGAGACUGACCGGCCACAAUGGGACUGAGACACGGCCCAUACUCCUACGGGAGGCAGCAGUAGGGAAUCUUCCACAAUGGACGAAAGUCUGAUGGAGCAACGCCGCGUGUGUGAUGAAGGGUUUCGGCUCGUAAAACACUGUUGUAAGAGAAGAAUGACAUUGAGAGUAACUGUUCAAUGUGUGACGGUAUCUUACCAGAAAGGAACGGCUAAAUACGUG
rnacentral:rRNA from 1 species